UUGAUCCUGGCUCAGAAUCAACGCUGGCGGCGUGCCUAACACAUGCAAGUCGAGCGCGAAAGGGGGGCAACUCCCGAGUAGAGCGGCGAACGGGUGAGUUACGCGUGGGUAAUCUGCCUCCGAGUGGGGAAUAACACCGGGAAACUGGUUCUAACACCGCAUGACAUCGUCGGACCUCAUGGCCUGACGAUCAAAGCUGUGGACCGCAAGGCCUAGCGCUUGGAGAGGAGCCCGCGUCCGAUUAGCUAGUUGGCGGGGUAACGGCCCACCAAGGCUACGAUCGGUAGCCGGCCUGAGAGUGCGGACGGCCACACUGGGACUGAGACACGGCCCAGACUCCUACGGGAGGUAGCAGUGGGGAAUUUUUCGCAAUGGGGGAAACCCUGACGAAGCAACGCCUCGUGGAGGAUGAAGGCCUUCGGGUCGUAAACUCCUGUCGACCGGGACGAUAGCUGUCUGACCCAAUACGUCGGGCAGUCGACUGUACCGGUAGAGGAAGUCACGGCUAACUCUGUGCCAGCAGCCGCGGUAAUAAGGU
rnacentral:rRNA from 1 species